AUGAAAAAUGUGUGCCAAUAUAGCACACUCGAUCCCAUCGAAUGCCUUGAACUCCAUCUCAGAGCAAUAGUUUUGAACACCUAUGAAGGCAAGAGAGCAGAUGUUAACUUUGCCAAGUUCUUUGUUCUGGACGCAAAGGUGCUCAAGGUAAUGAAAUUUGGUGCCAGUGGUACCUGCAAUGAUAAAUGGGUGGCUAAUCAGCGCAGGCGGCUACAACUGGAUAUCAGUGCUUCCAGAGGUGCAAGAUUUUAUUUUAAAAGAGAUUUUGAUAUCCCCAGCUUUUGCGAUCACUAUCACUUUCAUGGUAUGUGGACAGUUGAUCCCUUUGGUAGCUCGUAG
rnacentral:rRNA from 1 species